ensembl:lncRNA
AUGACUACUUUAAGCCCACGGCGAGUGCUGCUCUUCAAGAUCCAAAAGAAGCUUUCAGAUUUGAGUUUUAGUCAGCUGCAGACUGUUGCAAGUUCGAUAGAUGACGGUCGUAAAACUUACCAUGUAGCAGAUCUAAGUGAACCCGAACUUUAUGACCUAAUUGUCGACUACAUCAGAAGUGAUGAGUUAAAAGCUGCAGAAGAUGAGGGCAUGACUCAACUUCUCCUCCUUUCUGACCUACUUAAUGACGUGCUAUCAGCUGCAGGAACCAGAGCCGCUGAAUCGGGUAAUGUGGCACCUGUCUUGAUGGGAGAUUCACCAACACAGCAACAGGGUCACACUCCAACUGAUGACGAUGGAGAAGUUUGCACACAACCGUUACACAUGGACAGAGACAUUCGCACACAAUCAUUACGCGUGAACACAGAGACUGACAUGCACCCAUCAUUUCAGGGCAGAGACACCUAUGCACUUACCAGAGAAGUCACCUCAUCAACGCCUGGUAUGCCAGACCAAAUUGGUGCUGCUCCUUUGGGUAGGAUGAACUCAUCUAACAUUUCUGACCAUGUUGUAAGAUUGUCCGAUGUUUCAGCUUUGUUACCACGUAGAGAGUUUAAGUUGCAUGGUGGUCAAAUUUGUGAUACAGGCUGUGACAUGUCUUUCAAUUGUCUAUGUAAGCAAAUGGAUCAAGGGUUGCAGGAGGGUUUCAGUGAGUCUGAGAUUAUCAGAGCAGUCCUUAAGAUAACAAAACCUGGUACAUUCAGAGAGAUGUUGGUUAAUAAGGAUGACCUCACUACUGAUGGGUUGAAAAGAUUUCUUCGCUCCCACAUUAGAGACAAAAAUGUAACUGAACUUUUUCAAGAGCUAACUAGUGCUAGACAAAAUGACAAAGAAAGCCCACAACAGUUUCUCUACCGAAUAAUGGGCCUGAAGCAGCGUGUUCUUUUUGAGUCACAACAACCUGGUGUAGGUUUUAGCUAUAACAAAGAGCUUGUUCAGGGCACUUUCAUUCACACACUUUACCAGGGGUUAAAUGAGAGGAACAGCCAUGUCAGACGUGAUCUUAAACCUUUUCUCUCAGACAUGCAGGUUAGUGACGACUUGCUCUUGGAAGAAAUAACAAAAUCAACAGCUGAAGAAGAAGGGCGAUUGAAAAGACUGGGUUCAGUAGGUAAAAGCAGACCAGUUACUGUAAGCGCAGCUCAGCACUCCCAAAGUGAACUGAACACUCCAACAAAAGUUGACGCUGAGUUGCAAGCAAACCGUGAUGCGAUCAAAGAAUUAACUGCUCAAGUUUCUUCUCUAACCAAGCAUCUAGCCCAGAUGUCCACUCCCACUGAGGCUGUGAAGCUGAAAGACUGCCGCUCACCUACUGACCGCACACAACCACCAUGGUCUGAGACCAGAGGUAGAUGCAAUGACUGUGUACAAAAAAACAAUACCAACUGUGUUCACUGCUUUGUUUGUGGCCAGACAGGACAUCGCGCCAUUGGCUGUCUCCAACGAAGGUUGUCGGGAAACGGGAAGAGGUCGCUGGAGAGGGGCUGCCAGUGA